AGCAGUAGCCGCGGUAAUACGCAGGUGGCAAGCGUUGUCCGGAAUUAUUGGGCGUAAAGGGCUCGCAGGCGGUUUCUUAAGUCUGAUGUGAAAGCCCCCGGCUCAACCGGGGAGGGUCAUUGGAAACUGGGAAACUUGAGUGCAGAAGAGGAGAGUGGAAUUCCACGUGUAGCGGUGAAAUGCGUAGAGAUGUGGAGGAACACCAGUGGCGAAGGCGACUCUCUGGUCUGUAACUGACGCUGAGGAGCGAAAGCGUGGGGAGCGAACAGGAUUAGAUACCCGUGUAGUCCCUGUCUCUUAUAA
rnacentral:rRNA from 1 species